rnacentral:rRNA from 1 species
GCUAUACAUGCAGUCGAGCGAAUGGAUUAGAGAGCUUGCUCUUAUGAAGUUAGCGGCGGACGGGUGAGUAACACGUGGGUAACCUGCCCAUAAGACUGGGAUAACUCCGGGAAACCGGGGCUAAUACCGGAUAACAUUUUGAACUGCAUGGUUCGAAAUUGAAAGGCGGCUUCGGCUGUCACUUAUGGAUGGACCCGCGUCGCAUUAGCUAGUUGGUGAGGUAACGGCUCACCAAGGCAACGAUGCGUAGCCGACCUGAGAGGGUGAUCGGCCACACUGGGACUGAGACACGGCCCAGACUCCUACGGGAGGCAGCAGUAGGGAAUCUUCCGCAAUGGACGAAAGUCUGACGGAGCAACGCCGCGUGAGUGAUGAAGGCUUUCGGGUCGUAAAACUCUGUUGUUAGGGAAGAACAAGUGCUAGUUGAAUAAGCUGGCACCUUGACGGUACCUAACCAGAAAGCCACGGCUAACUACGUGCCAGCAGCCGCGGUAAUACGUAGGUGGGA